GCAGUUUACUACCUAAAGGGCUCUGGGUUCAGCCACCGCUGGCAGUUCGUUCACGUGAUGUUUUCCCAGGGAACCAAAGAGAAGUAGAGAAGAGUACGUGCAGGACGGGGAAGUAUGUUUUAUUUGCAUACUGGGCGCCUGUUCUGAGCAUGUCGUGACGUCUAACCAAUCAGGUCAGCGAAUCCCGCAAACCACGCCCGCGCGGUAACUCGUGUCGCGCGCUUCACAAUCAGCAUUGUACUAGUGUGCAAGUGAAAGAACCCAAAGUUACAAGCGUCUUUUUGUCACCGUUUCAGCAGGGUUACCUGACAGGAGGACUUUUUGUGUAGCAAGUUGAACUCAGGCAGAGCUCAAAAAACUGCAAGGACGUCUUCGGAACAAGCUCGUGGCUGCCGAGUUUAAACUGCUACCAGCUUGGAGAAGUUAUUGUUCGCCACUCCGUGGGGUUUAAAUUUCGGCUAACAGAAGCGCCCCAGGCCGAAGCAGGUUGUAAGCUCUGCGUGUUAUAAACCUUAAGUUAGGUCGCAAUGGCAGCUGUGUGCCAGCCACGACGGGCCUUGGUGGAAAUACCUGCUCCACAGCCCAAAAUUGCCGUGGACUUGGCAGUUGGUGGGGCGUGGAGAGGAAGGCUAGAGGAGCAGUGCGAGAAGAUGGACGAGCACCACACACCGCUCUCCAAACAGCAGCUUGUGCAGCUCAUUAGAUCCCUCAUCUUGGUCGAACAGAGCCAAGAGCCCAGGAUCAUGGCAUCAGACCUGAAGUAUCUACAGGAAGACCUGCAGCUAAAGAAGGCCAAUGUUUAUAGGUCCAUACCUUACUCACGAUUUGGAUCCAACAGGGACGCUCACUGCUACAGAAAGGCGUACCCUCACCUGGUGGCAUUCAAAGUUUCGUGUCAGGAGUGGGGUCAAGUUCUGCUCAGGAACAAAGAUUGGGACGCUGUGUUGGAGCACUCGCUGAUGGCGUGGCGUUACACCAGCGAGCUGCCGCAGUGGGACACUGCAAGCCACAACGCCCUUCGAGAGCAGUGUUACAGCAUCCUGGCGGCUCACAGCCUCACCGCUCUCCAGCACUAUUCCCCCGAACCCAACAGAGGACGCGAGCUGCUCAGAAGACUGAAGAUGGCUCAGCUGUAUAGCCAGUCAAUUGUUCCCUGCAUACAGGAGUUGCAGAGGAUAAUGGAAUGUCUUGAUGACUCGUCCAUGGAUACAAAAUGAAAGGAGAAUCCGGCAAAAGAGUGCGAAUUGUGGAUGACCAAAAAAAGGCAAAAACGUGCUUUAUGUGUGGUGAUGGGCCAGGAACAUUGAACACAUUAGUGUUUGUGUAAAACCACUACAAUAUUCUUCCAAAGGGCACGGUGGCAAGUGCAAAAUGAACAAAAUGAAUAAUGCAGGCUUCAAAGGGUAAUAAAUAACACUCCCUAAAUGGCUGAAAAUGGCAUUUUAACAGCAUGUGGAAAGUGUUAUUUUAGGAGUUGUUGCACUGCACAAUGGCAGGGUAUUAAUUAAUGUAACAUUUUGUUCAUACAUUACCAGCCUAUAUGAAAAUGGAGAAGGAGCAUUUACAUUCUGAAAAGCAUUCAGUUGGUGCUUACUGUUAAAAUGUUUGUAUGCUUUUAGACAUCAUAUAGUUUAGUCUGUGUCGAUGGCUGAAAUAUAAAAAGUAUGAAAUUUGCCCCGCUUGUUUUUGCAGGGUUGUGUGUGUGUGUAUAUAUGUUCUUGUUACUGUUUACAUUACUUGAAGCUGUGGCCUUUGUCUUAGACUAUAGUAUCUUGUGUAUCUUGUGUGUACAGAUACUCAUCUGUCAAUGAUUGCACUGUUGUUUGUCCUGAAAACUUGAACAAUUUUGAUAAGACUCCUAAUUUAAUUAAAGACGUUCUUUAAACUGCACUCAUGUGUCUUUGUUCUGUGCGAGUGCUUUGCAUGCGUGCCAAGCACUGUGAACGACUGGAGAAUUUGAGGACAGUGCUGUUUUCAUGUAGUAACUCUGAAGUUUCUAAGUGUGGUUUUUUUGUUUGUUUUUUUUGUAGGAAAACUGUCAAUAGACUGUAAUGGUUUUUCCAACCACUCUGUUUCUAUGCUCACAGUUUUAUCUAAAAUAGAUCAUAGGCUGUGGCUUCCAGGCUCCGAG
rnacentral:lncRNA from 1 species